rnacentral:lncRNA from 1 species
GGGGAGCGGUGGAUGCAUUCCCUUCUCUGUGCUUUCGUAGGGCGUUGAGAUGUGCUGCCACCCGCAGUUCCUGCCCUCACCUUCCCUGCCGGCUGUACGUUCCCACCUCACAGCUCUGCCAGUGCAGCUGUUUUCAUGGAAAACCACUGGAAAACGUCUGGAUAACGGCAUAGAGAAUUCUAUUCCAGCUCUGCUCAAUUCUGUGGGAGGCUGCAGUUUGCUAAAUAUAUUAGGAAACACCAGGUGUUUGACUUCUUAUCUGAUGGUUUAACAAAUGAGCAUCCUUCCUUCGCUGAUCCUGUUCUCUCUCCAGAUGGACUGUAGGUAGGAGCCAGUCAUGAUCUAUUUGGAACCCAGAGGCUCAGUUUCCCUGGUGACACAUGGAGUUUGCAAGCUAGCUGCAGAAAUAGCACACUUCUGUGCCCAGGUUUUUCAUAGAUUUGAAAAGCUGGAGAUUUUUGUCGAGAGCCCAGGCUGCUAGGAGAAUUCAAUCCCAGCAGCAGGAAAGUAUGGCCUUUCUGUGUAGUGUUUCACAGACUUCAAAUAAACAAGCCAGAUGGUAAAAGUGCAAUGGUAAAAGUAAUCAUUUUUAGACUCCUGCCAGACCAUUGUUUAAAAAAAAAAAAGAAAAGCUGCCUUUUGACUGAGAGUCUGCUGGCUGAUUUGUUGUUGUUGUUCUUUUUCGCCUUCCCCAUUCCUCCUUUUGUACCCCAUCUUCCCUUGUUUACAAAGCUGCAGGUGUUGGAGGGUUUCAUCAGGUUUCUUUUGCGACUGCUAGCAGUUGGGAAUAUUAUUGCAAGAGUUCCCUCUGGUGGUCAGUAAUGGGGAAAUGAAUAACAGUUCUGCUGUAAGAAGCUUUUUUUUAUGCUGGAAGGAUUUAUUGUUCAGUCACUCUGUCCAUUAUUUUUAACAGCCUUUCUUAAGGCUUCUCUAGAUAAUGACUGGUAACCUUUUCCAGAUUCCUUUUUUCUCCCAUAAUUAACUCUCCACUCCUCAGUAAUUUACUACCAUUGAUUCAUCCUUUCUGCACCAAGGCUGCAAUAAAGGUGGAGCUUUUCUGCCCCAACCUGCAUUUCUUCACUGAC